rnacentral:lncRNA from 1 species
CCGGAAUUCAGGGGAAUCUGUGUUAUCAUGCACACUCUUCUCUGAGGAUAGAAUCACAGGCACACCAAAAACUAGCCAUCGCCGUUAGGGACGGCAUCAGAAGGGACAGCCCCAAAAGAUUACACAGGACAAAAGAAGUGGUCAAAUACAAGGAUUCCUUUAGAAACUGGCAUUAGCUUACAUGGUAAUAAGAUGACUCCAAAUGAGGCAUCUGAGGACAGAAACAUUAGAAAUUGGGGACAGCUGCGGACAGCAGAUUUGGGACACUGGUAUCAUACAGAGUCUUGCUCUAGAUGUCUCCAAGACUGGAGUGCAACGGCAUGAUCGUAGCUCACUGCAACCUCAAACUCCUGGGGUCAAGCAAUCCUCCCACAUGUUAGGUACUAUAUUACUAUACUAUAUUUCCUCUAUUUAUAACUAAUAAUAUUAUUGCUAAUUGCCUACUGUAUAGUAAUUGCACAUUUAUUUGUCUGUAUUUGUCACUAGAAUAUAAUCUCCAGGAUAGCAACACCAAUGUCUAUUUCAAGUACACGGCAACAUCUUACAUUGUGUCUGGCACUUCUUUAGCUAAUGACAAAUGUUUGUUAAAUAAUGAAUAAAGAAUGAAACAAAACACAUAAAAUUACUCUCUAUGAAUCUACUACUCAGAGCACAUAUACUAUUUGAACAGACAGGUAUGCAUUUCAGACAAAUAAUAAGUCAAGGUUGAAGUGAUUCAGGGAUCUAGACCCUCAGAGAGGAAACCAGAAAGUGCUGGGUGCUGAUACUUUUGGAGGAGGGGUUAGAAAAAAACUAAUAAAACAAAACCACAAACUGAAAAGGUUUACAUAUACUAUUAUUCACAUUCACCACAGCUGUUUUAUGCCUCCUUCUUAGAGAAACCUUAUAUUCAUAGUACCUAGUGUGGAAAUCCAAAAAAUAAAAGGGAACACUAAGGUCUUUUUAAAAACUGUAUUUUCUAUAUAGGUCUGAUGACAUGGUGAUGAAUAUUAAAUAACUGAUAAUGUAUGAGGAUUACAGUGUGAAGCACUGCCUUGUCUGGAUUAGGCCCCAAUGCUUCCCUGUCCUAAAUUAUGAGCACUAUUAUUUAUUCCACCAUAAUUUUCCUUUCCUUCCCAAAAAGGCUCAUUUGCUUUAAGUUGAAAUUGAUAAGAAUGAGAAAAAGCACUUCUCUCAUUACACAGUAUUUACAGACAUACACCCCUUAUCAUAACCAACGUUCUACCUUUAAAGACAGAAACAUAGAGUUACAAAUAACAGUUCUAUUAUCUAAAGUGGUGUUUGCAUUUAACUGAUUGUCCCAACUCCAGUGGUGAGAUACAGACCACUGUCAGAUACCUCAUAUUUUUUAAGACAUUGUCCAGACUAGUUUCCCUGGUGCUUUAUCAGAGGGUUUUAUCAGGCCUCCACAUGAUAAGGGUUGCUACUAUUUGCCAAGUUGGAAUUUUUGUAAAAUUCCUUAAUUUUCUGUUGUUAAUCCACCAAACACAAACACAUAAAGACUUAUCUUAUUCUACAAGAAUAAAUGACUUGUUGGACUGUGAAGUACUAGGAGAUAGAGGGUUGGGAGCAGUGGGUUGUCUUUAGUUUAUUUAACUCCAUCAAAACCAGACUACUUUGUGUUUUUGACGCCACGGGAAAAAGAAAUUGAUACACAGGCCUAAACCCCCUACUCAUCCUUUCUUGGCACAUUCAAAUUCAGAAGUACUAGGAGGAAGUAAUAUAUUUUCUUUAAAUAUUUUUUUCUUGCUGUUAGAAUACAUAGGAUAUACUUUGUUGUGGAUAUAAAGGCCUAAUGUGUAAUUUUAGAAACUUUAGAAAAAAAAUAAAAUAAAAGUUAAAAAAGAA